GGAGAGGUCGCAUAGUGGUCUAGUGCGCUUGCUUGGAAAGCAAGUAUGUCCGAAAGGGCAUCGAGGGUUCAAAUCCCUCUCUCUCCG
rnacentral:tRNA from 1 species